rnacentral:rRNA from 1 species
UACGAAGGGGGCGAGCGUUGUUCGGAAUUACUGGGCGUAAAGGGCGCGUAGGCGGCCGAUCAAGUCAGAUGUGAAAGUCCUGGGCUUAACCUGGGGACUGCAUUUGAUACUGAUUGGCUUGAAUUCGGGAGAGGAUAGCGGAAUUCCCAGUGUAGAGGUGAAAUUCGUAGAUAUCUGGAGGAAUACCGGUGGCGAAGGCGGCAUCCUGGACCAUUACUGACGCUGAGGCGCGAAAAGCUAGGGGAGCAAACGGGG